rnacentral:lncRNA from 1 species
GACAGAAAAUAGAUUAGUGACUUGGGGCGGGGGGGGGGGGCGGGUUGGGAGAAAGAAGUGACUGCUAAUGGGUGGGGGUGCUUUCUGGGGCGUGACAUGUUCUGUCACAGACAGUGGUGAAGGCUGGACAACUUUUUCUUUCUUUUUUUAUGUAUGUAUUUUUUUAAUUUUUAUUUUUUGUCUUUUCUGGGGCCACACCCGAGGCAUAUGGAGGUUCCCAGGAGGGGCCCUAGUAAAGGCAAAAAAAAAAAAAAGGCAAACAAAAGCAAGGCAUUAAAAAGCCAAUAAAAUAGUCAUAAAUCUCAACUUUUUUGUGUCUUCAUGCCAUCUGGACACACUCCCGUGGGCACACAGCCCAGAAGCCUAUACACGGCCACAGCUCAGACCCAGGAACAAACCACCCCCACCCCCCACCAGAGGGCAGCAAGACCUCCUAAAUGCUGGGGGCACUGAAGACACCCCCAGGUCCCUUCUCAGUCACCAUGACGGCUUAGAACACAGUCAACUCUAUGAGAUAAAGAAAUCUCAUUCUGACUCUGCUAAGAGGCCAGCGGGACCCUGGAAAAAUGGCCUGCUCGCUGACUCAAGCGAAGUGCAGUAAGGCCACAGGUGUCUGGGGCCCUGUGCUCAGGCCUUCAUGGCAGGAACCCUCGACACAGUCGUGAGAGUCACUUAAUUCUAACGUAGUGUAACUCAGAGGGUUCACACACGGACGCAGAAGCACCGAGGCUGCAGUAAAAUGCUCAAGUAAGAGAAGGCAGGCCCUAACCACUUCCCAGGAAAAGGUCUGGAGUGAAAGGCACAAAACGCGGGGGCGCAUUCCUGCUGAGGCAGAACACAAAGAUGAGGGCAGUCUCGAGUUCUGACCCCUCCGCAUGUGCGGCUGUGUGAUCAACUGGCUGUACCCAAAUGACUGACGAAGAGGAAACUCUAACGCCACCAAGGUUGAGAAUCGGAGCCCAGGGGCCCUGAUGUGCUGGCACCUUCUGGUCUCUUUCGGACCCAGGCGUCUCCCGAGUCACAAACCAGGUGCAUCCUGGCCCCGGCCUUUCCCAUGACUUGUCUUUUCAUCAAGCGCCCUGCGGAGUUCCCGCCGUGGUGCAGUGGGCUAAGAAUCUGACUGCCGGGGCCCGGGUCGCUGCAGAUGCAGGUUCAUUCCCCUGCCCAGAGCAGUGGGUUAAAGGAUCCAGCGUUGCUGCCACUGAGGCUGGGAUUCAAUCCCUGGCCCAGGGGACGUCCGUAUGCCACACAUCUUGAAACACAUACCAAAAAAAAAAAAGAAAGGAAAUUAAAAAAAAAGGGCACUGCCAUCAUGGCUCGGUGCCAACAAACCUGAUUUAAAUCCAUGUGGACGCAGGUUCCAUCCCUGCUCCCACUCAGUCGGUUCGGAAUCCGGUGUUGCCGUGAGCCAAGGUGUGGGUCGCAGAUCUGCUGCGGCCGUGGUGUAGGCUGGAGGUCGCAGCUCGGAGUCGACCCCUAGCCUGGGCCCUUCCCCGGGCCUGAGUGCGGGGCCGGGCGGGGAGGAAGGAAGGAACCUGCACUGCAGCCCCGCGCGUGCACAGGCCACGCGGCCCCACCACAGAGGGAUCCGUCCAACAGCACAAUCCCCCCCACGUAGGCACAGGCACACGUUCAGCCUCAGCUCCCCGUGGGGCGAACAUCUCACCGAAGGGGCCUUGGCGUCUCUGGCAGGAAAACAUGGCUCAAAAAACGGUGGCGCCUGCCUGGCUCCCUCGGCCCCACCCGCCAGCCCGCCUGCGGCUGGGAGCCCCGCGGGCUCACAGGACGUGCGGUGCCCCACGCCCAAGGCCUAGGGGCCCACGGCAGGGAACACGGCUGGCAGACGGCCCUUCACACCCACACCGGACCCCGGACCCCGAAGCUCGGACCGGACCGGGCGCGAGGCGGGAACCUGCCCCACAGCAAAGGGCCUCCCUCAGUCCCUGGGUAAAGCUCCACCACCCAACCACUACUAUCGUAAGACACGGAACAUUCCAGCAUUUCAAUUCGCUGCAAGCGUCCAAAUACACAUAAUAAUUUACUGAAUAACCAACACAAUUCCUUGAGAAAGCAUACGAGUUUUUUUAACAUUUUCUUCAUUUUCGGUGAAGCUACCUCACACACACGGCUGAGAGGCCCUCCCGAUUUCACUUGUAAAUAAAGUUUACCUCCCCUCCAGUAUUUCCAAGGAACACAAGGUGGUAAAUUUCAAGUAAAAUUUCAAAACUUCCCACCAACAGGGGAAGGGCUCCUCUAGAAGUCUUCCGAGGUUCUCCUACUCUUGACACUAAACUUAGGGACUUCGCGUUAGCACAGCACCGCUAAUGCUGCCCCCACUGCCACUGCUCAAGAACUGCACAACUUGCUCUGGAUGAAAGACUGCUGAACGUGAGUCAGACGCCCGUCUCUACCGCCAACAGCACCAACAGAGCCCAUCGCAACCUUGGUUUAAUGCCCCCAGUAAGUCAAACGGCUAAUCCUCACCAGGUCCUUAGAACCCUGUCAUGCUGGUAAUUCUCCCCGAGACAGUAACUGGUUUAUUUAAUGAAACAGGCACCUGCUUGCGUAACCUCAUAUGUGACAGACACACGAGAACUCCUGCAAUCCUCAUUAACCACUGUCAGGACCACCUCAAGGCUUUCCCCAGUUUAAUCAAAUCUGGACUCCUCCACUUUCACCACUGCCUGCAGCGAUUCCCUGAGUCUUUGUCAACAUCCCAUCUUCACUGACUCGGUGCACGUGCUGAGGACUGACAGGAAUACAGUUAAAUUCUCACUCUCCACAGUAACAACAGGCAGAACGCAGAACACGACAGAGACACACGCACCCGAGACCCAAGUCAUUCAACCAGAAUUUUACCCUGCAGAC